AUACGGAGGGUGCAAGCGUUAUCCGGAAUCAUUGGGUUUAAAGGGUCCGUAGGCGGGGAUCUAAGUCAGUGGUGAAAUCUUGCAGCUCAACUGUAAAAUUGCCAUUGAUACUGGAUUUCUUGAAUUAGUGUGAAGUGGUUAGAAUGUGUAGUGUAGCGGUGAAAUGCAUAGAUAUUACACAGAAUACCAAUUGCGAAGGCAGAUCACUAACACUAUAUUGACGCUGAGGGACGAAAGCGUGGGGAGCGAACAGGAUUAGAAACCCCGGUAGUCC
rnacentral:rRNA from 1 species